rnacentral:lncRNA from 1 species
UUGAUUAAUAUUUACUUAUUAUCAUGGACAUAUUGUAUCAUAUAUGCACAUUCAAUCUGAAUGACUAAAUUAAAGUUAAUUAUAGUCAUUAUUAUUUCUCUGAUCAUGUGAUGAACCAGUGAUUGGUUUGCAUUUAAUACUAAUACUAAACGUGUCUUUAUCAAAAAGUUUAAAAUCAAACGCACAUUGUCGGUGUUAACGGAGAAGAAAACGUUCAAGUUAACGAGACUCUAGUUUAUAAAAAUAUACAUGUGAUCAGCAUGCGGGUACCUACGAUCUGAGACGACGGAAUUAUGACCACCACGUCUUUAUAAUUUUCUAGAUAUUUGUGCGUUACUUUCGUGUUCUUUGCAUCCUUAUAUUUACAAAGCUACUCAAUCCUAAUUUAUCAAAACAAGCUUUGAAACAUAAACACAAGACAUCCGUAUUUGUCUUUGAUGAUCUGGGUUUUUUGUGUUUUGUUCUUGUUGAUUAUUAUUAGAAUUAUGGAAUAUUUCAACGAUAGAAACAAUAAUUCAG